rnacentral:rRNA from 1 species
GCCUACGGGGGGCAGCAGUGGGGAAUAUUGGACAAUGGGCGAAAGCCUGAUCCAGCCAUGCCGCGUGAGUGAUGAAGGCCCUAGGGUUGUAAAGCUCUUUCAACGGUGAAGAUAAUGACGGUAACCGUAGAAGAAGCCCCGGCUAACUUCGUGCCAGCAGCCGCGGUAAUACGAAGGGGGCUAGCGUUGUUCGGAAUUACUGGGCGUAAAGCGCACGUAGGCGGAUACUUAAGUCAGGGGUGAAAUCCCGGGGCUCAACCCCGGAACUGCCUUUGAUACUGGGUAUCUCGAGUCCGGAAGAGGUGAGUGGAAUUCGGGGUGUAGAGGUGAAAUUCGUAGAUAUUCGGAGGAACACCAGUGGCGAAGGCGGCUCACUGGUCCGGUACUGACGCUGAGGUGCGAAAGCGUGGGGAGCAAACAGGAUUAGAUACCCUUGUAGUC